UCACCAAACACCAACGCAACUACAACAACAACUUCCUUAACAUCAAGGACAGCACCAAUCACAGAUACCUCCACCACUACAACAGGGUGUGAGUUCAGAUUUCAGCUCAGAAUUUUUACAAAGAAUUAAUGUUAACUAAAGCUAUAGGGCGGAACUAGGAAAGGUACGAAGUUGCAUGCGAAGGUAGCAACCGCAAUUAUUCGCGUAGCGCGCACCAAGCGGCCUAUUAAUAUCAAUCUAUUGUUGUAUGAAAAAAAGGGAAAGUUUGCGCACCGUAUAUAGGAUUUUGCCGUUGCAACCGAAUUCUGAUGGAUUGUAGAAAUUGAAAUUGCAAAAAAUCUAAAAGGAAAAGUGACGCAAUUUUUACUACUAUCACGAGUAUGAGCAUAAUUUUUACCAGCGCAACGUUAUAUAUAAUUCCCGUUAGCAUAUGCAUUUACGUUUUAUAUUCUAUUAUUAUGGUAAGCACCUUAUUACUAAUUUAAUAAACAAUAGCGUAAGCAUUAUUGUUAAUGAUAUUUUAGUAUAUAUGAUAGAUGGUUUUAGUACUUAAAAAAGAGAACACAAGGCUAACACACAAAGGCAAAAAUUCGAUGUUUUGUUUGUUCGUUGUUGUUCGUGAUAUUCUAUGCUUUGAUUUUACCCUUCCAAAAUAUUAUGUACAGUAAGUCAA